CCUACGGGUGGCUGCAGUGGGGAAUAUUGGACAAUGGGCGAAAGCCUGAUCCAGCCAUGCCGCGUGUGUGAAGAAGGCCUUCGGGUUGUAAAGCACUUUCAGUGGGGAAGAAAGCCUUGGGGCUAAUACCCUCGAGGAAGGACAUCACCCACAGAAGAAGCACCGGCUAACUCCGUGCCAGCAGCCGCGGUAAUACGGAGGGUGCGAGCGUUAAUCGGAAUUACUGGGCGUAAAGUGCGCGUAGGCGGUCUGAUAAGCCGGUUGUGAAAGCCCCGGGCUCAACCUGGGAACGGCAUCCGGAACUGUCAGGCUAGAGUGCAGGAGAGGAAGGUAGAAUUCCCGGUGUAGCGGUGAAAUGCGUAGAGAUCGGGAGGAAUACCAGUGGCGAAGGCGGCCUUCUGGACUGACACUGACGCUGAGGUGCGAAAGCGUGGGUAGCAAACAGGAUUAGAUACCCCAGUAGUC
rnacentral:rRNA from 1 species